rnacentral:rRNA from 1 species
UGGUUUGAUCCUGGCUCAGGAUGAACGCUAGCGGCAGGCCUAAUACAUGCAAGUCGAGGGGUAAGGCUCACUUCGGUGGGUACACGACCGGCGCACGGGUGCGUAACGCGUAUGCAACCUACCUAUAACUGGAGGAUAGCCCCGAGAAAUCGGGAUUAAUACUCCAUAACAACAUUUUUUGGCAUCAUURGGKGUUUAAAGCUCCGGCGGUUAUAGAUGGGCAUGCGUGACAUUAGUUAGUUGGUGAGGUAACGGCUCACCAAGACUACGAUGUCUAGGGGUUCGGAGAGGAAGAUCCCCCACACUGGUACUGAGACACGGACCAGACUCCUACGGGAGGCAGCAGUAAGGAAUAUUGCGCAAUGGAGGAAACUCUGACGCAGCCAUGCCGCGUGAAGGAUGAAGGCCUUAUGGGUCGUAAACUUCUUUUAUCAGGGAAUAAACCCUCGCUCGUGAGCGAGGCUGAAGGUACCUGAAGAAUAAGCACCGGCUAACUCCGUGCCAGCAGCCGCGGUAAUACGGAGGGUGCAAGCGUUAUCCSGAUUCAUUGGGUUUAAAGGGUGCGCAGGCGGACUUUUAAGUCAGUGGUGRAAUCCCGGGGCUCAACCCCGGAACUUCCAUUKAUACUGAAAGUCUUGAGUUUKGUUGAAGUAGGCGGAAUKUAGCAUGUAGCGGUGAAAUGCUUAGAUAUGCUACAGAACACCGAUCCCGAAGGCAGCUUACUAAACCAAKACUGACGCUCAGGCACGAAAGCGUGGGARCRAAMAGRAUWAGAUACCCUGGUAGYCCMCCCCGUAAACUAUGAUCACUCGUUGUUGGCRAUACACAGUCAGCGACCAAGCGAAAGCAAUAAGUGAUCCMCCUGGGRAGUACGAUCGCAAGGUUGAAACUCAAAGGAAUUGACGGGGGCCCGCAMAAGCGGUGGAGCAUGUGGUUUAAUUCGAUGAUACGCGAGGAACCUUACCUGGGCUCAAAUGUAGAGUGACAACCCCCRAAAGGGGGCUUUCUUCGGACACUUUACAAGGUGCUGCAUGGUUGUCGUCAGCUCGUGCCGUGAGGUGUCGGGUUAAGUCCCAUAACGAGCGCAACCCCUACUCUUAGUUGCCAGCAUGUAAUGAUGGGGACUCUAGGAGAACUGCCUACGCAAGUAGAGAGGAAGGUGGGGAUGACGUCAAAUCAGCACGGCCCUUACGUCCAGGGCUACACACGUGCUACAAUGGCCGGUACAGAGGGCAGCCACCACGCGAGUGGGAGCAAAUCUCCAAAGCSGGUCUCAGUUSGGAUCGAAGUCUGCAAUUCGACUUCGUGAAGCUGSCCCCGCUAGUAAUCGCGCAUCAGCCAUGGCGCGGUGAAUACGUUCCCGGGCCUUGUACACACCGCCCGUCAAGCCAUGGAAGCUGGGAGUACCUGAAGUCGGUAACCGAAAGGAGCUGCCUAGGGUAAAACUGGUAACUGGGGCUAAGUCGUAACAAGGUAGCCG